rnacentral:lncRNA from 1 species
GAUAGAGCAAAGACUUGUAAGCUCAUUGUCAAAAUAUGUACAGUUAUGAUGAAAUAGAUAUAGGAAGAUGUGGUAUGCGUGCAGUGUUCUCCCCAGAAAUUUUGGAUAGCAUCACAUUUGGCGUAAAAAAAUAAAUUGUAUUUUUCAAUGUAAUUUGUCGCGUUGUGGCAAUGCUCUGUUUCUUUUACUAGUGUAAAACCAUUCAUACGGGAAAACCAACGGUCUAAUCUAUAUAAAAACAAAAACACGUAUGAACUACAUAAACUGAGGACAACUACUCUACAUCAAAUUCCUGACUUAGGACAGGUGCAAACAUAUCUUCCUACUGACUUACCUUGUGAACUUUUAUGUUAGAAAUCCAGCUCCUCUUAUCAGUCUAGUACAAUGCAGGGUUUUUACUCAUAUCAAAUAAUCAUGCCCUUGUCCUGAAUAUGCAUUUAAUUUGUUACUGGACCUUUAUCAGCCAUCCAUCAAAAAAUGCUUGGAUACUCUUCUCUACACACAGAGUAGAAAAGACAUUUUAAAUAGAAAAAAGAAAAUUAAGAUGAUACCAGGUAGGCAAUAAAUCUUAUUAAGUACAAAGGAACAGAAAAAUGGUGAUAAGAAAAAUGAAAAAAAACACCCUACAAAUAACUAAAGAUUGAGAACAAUUCAGUCUACAAAAGGGCAAAACAGGUUUUCUUUCGCCUGUAAAACAAAUCACGAAGGCAAAACCUUGGC